rnacentral:rRNA from 1 species
CGGCGUGCUUAACACAUGCAAGUCGAACGCGAAAGGGACUUCGGUCCUGAGUAAAGUGGCGCACGGGUGAGUAACGCGUAGAUAACCUGUCUUCAUGUCUGGAGUAAUACGCCGAAAGGGGUACUAAUACCGGAUAUUCUUGCUUUUCAUAAGUUAUGCAAGCAAAGGUGGCCUCUGCAUAUGCUACUGCAUGAAGAGGGGUCUGCGUACCAUUAGCUAGUAGGUGGGGUAAUGGCCUACCUAGGCGACGAUGGUUAGCGGGUCUGAGAGGAUGAUCCGCCACACUGGCACUGGAACACGGGCCAGACUCCUACGGGAGGCAGCAGUGAGGAAUAUUGCGCAAUGGGGGAAACCCUGACGCAGCGACGCCGCGUGAGUGAAGGAAGGCCUUCGGGUCGUAAAGCUCUGUCAAGAGGAAAGAAGUGUACAAUGGCUAAUACCUGUUGUAUUUGACGGUACCUCUAAAGGAAGCACCGGCUAACUCCGUGCCAGCAGCGGC